AAAUUAAAAAAAAAAAAGUAUUUGGAAACUUCUUUUUUGCAAUGAUUUUUAAUCCUGUUAAUUGUCACAUAAUUACAUUUAUUAUGAGGAAAAAAAAAAAGGUGUUUAUGGUAUUAUAGCAUCUAAUUCAGACAAAAACAUGAGGAAUUUAAUUAAGUUUCAGCUUUAGUUUUACUAUUUUUAUUGUUACAAAAAUAAAGGAAAAAAAAAAGAAAGAUUCUAACUGUUUAGGUUCAAAGAUUGAUAGCCUGUGAUUUCAGAUUAUGCUUUGCUAAAAUCUUGGGGUGCCUUUUCUGUCAUCUAUAUAUCAAAUUAAUUAAUUAAUUAAGACCAAAAUAGGAGAAAUGCUUACAAUCUGCCUCGUUUGAACAAAAAUAAAAAAAUUGAAAAAAAAAUUAAAAGUAUACAUUCAAGAAAGCAGCCAGGCUAUAUCCUAUUGUGUUUUCAUUUUCAAUAUGCACUAUACUUUUCUAAUUCUUCAGCAUAAUGCCCUCUUUCCAGUGAGGUAACAAAAAGAUACUCACUAGUCUAUAUAUGAUAGGUCUUUAUUUCUUUACUGAUACUGUAUACAUCAUAAUAAAACCUCCAAAUUAAACAUGGAAAUAAAAAAGAAAAAUAAAAGGGAUAAAGAGAAAAAGAAAAGGUUUCUUGUUUGUAUCUUUAAUUUAAAAUACUCGUAUAAUAAAGAAACUGGUUUUUCUUUCUUCUUUUUAAUCCUUCCUCAUCUUUUCUAAUCUUUCCUUUCUUAGCUUCCUAGUUGGAAUUAGAACAAACAAGCGCUCAUGGAUUUCAGGGUCAAAAAGGUCAUACUCACUUCUUUAAUAUCAGUCGAGGUGCAACCCAUAAUGAGUUCUUCUAGACCAGAUGUAGACCUUCCUCCCAGUUUAUGAUGCUGCUGCUGCUGUUGCUGUUGU
rnacentral:misc_RNA from 1 species